UUGAGACACUUUUACACUGGGACCACAUGAAAGGCCCAAGUUUAAUUUUUUGUCCAAUGUUAAGUCUGGGUAAACUGGCAUGUAUCUGUUGUUCCAGCAACUUAGAAGACUGAGGCCAGAAGAUCAUGAACUUGAGAGUGUAUAUGAGUGUACACAAAAGAAAGCAAAACAUAGCAAAAGAAUCCCCCAACAAGGGCUGAUCAUGCAUAAUUUUUUUUUUCCUUCAAUUCUCCAUCGCCUCAGAAUCCCAGGCAUGUAUACAGAUGGUGCAAACACAGUGGUGCCCACUGUUGAGACGCUUUUGUUCUGCCAGUGAGGAUUACAUGAAAGCCUUUAGUUCAAUCCCCAGCCAAGGCUGGACGCUUUGAUGUGCACCUGGAAUCCCAGUCAGGGAUUGUGUGCUAGGGAGGGGAAGUGAAAAAAAGA